rnacentral:rRNA from 1 species
UACGGAGGAUCCAAGCGUUAUCCGGAAUCAUUGGGUUUAAAGGGUCCGUAGGCGGUUUUGUAAGUCAGUGGUGAAAGCCCAUCGCUCAACGGUGGAACGGCCAUUGAUACUGCAAGACUUGAAUUACUAGGAAGUAACUAGAAUAUGUAGUGUAGCGGUGAAAUGCUUAGAUAUUACAUGGAAUACCAAUUGCGAAGGCAGGUUACUACUAGUUGAUUGACGCUGAUGGACGAAAGCGUGGGGAGCGAACAGG